CCUACGGGACGCAGCAGUGGGGAAUAUUGCACAAUGGGGGAAACCCAGAUGCAGCAUCGCCGCGUGAAGGAAGACGGUUUUCGGAUUGUAAACUUCUUUUCUUAGUGAAGAAGCAAGUGACGGUAGCUAAGGAAUAAGCAUCGGCUAACUACGUGCCAGCAGCCGCGGCAAUACGUAGGAUGCGAGCGUUAUCCGGAAUUACUGGGUGUAAAGGGAGCGCAGGCGGGACUGCAAGUUUGAUGUGUAAUACCGCAGCUUAACUGCGGGGCUGAAUCGCAAAAUGUAGUUAUUGAGGGGAGUAGAGG
rnacentral:rRNA from 1 species